UACGAAGGGGGCUAGCGUUGUUCGGAAUCACUGGGCGUAAAGCGCACGUAGGCGGAUCUUUAAGUCAGGGGUGAAAUCCCGAGGCUCAACCUCGGAACUGCCUUUGAUACUGGGGAUCUCGAGUCCGGGAGAGGUGAGUGGAACUGCGAGUGUAGAGGUGAAAUUCGUAGAUAUUCGCAAGAACACCAGUGGCGAAGGCGGCUCACUGGCCCGGAACUGACGCUGAGGUGCGAAAGCGGUGGGGAGCAAACAGG
rnacentral:rRNA from 1 species